CCUGUCCCUGUGAAUGAACAUGCUCACUUCUCCUAUAUGUUGUUCAAACCAAAACAAACCCCAAGCUCUGAGAAAUGAGAGUGACAUUUGCUGUUCGAUGCUGGAGGCACAAACUGUAUCUGUUAUAUUUCCCAGGAACUGUGUUUCUGCGCUACGGAUGCGUGAAGGGGAGGAUAAACCUGGGAGCUGCCCUUCCUGCCAAUAGGCUGCUAGCAAGGAGUUGUCAAAAUAAAUGCAUUACUCAGCUCCUUUGAGGUGCUUA